UACGAAGGGGGCUAGCGUUGCUCGGAAUUACUGGGCGUAAAGCGCACGUAGGCGGCUUUCUAAGUCGGGGGUGAAAUCCUGGAGCUCAACUCCAGAACUGCCUUCGAUACUGGAGAGCUUGAGUCCGGGGAGAGGUGAGUGGAACUGCGAGUGUAGAGGUGAAAUUCGUAGAUAUUCGCAAGAACACCAGUGGCGAAGGCGGCUCACUGGCCCGGUACUGACGCUGAGGUGCGAAAGCGUGGGGAGCAAACAGGG
rnacentral:rRNA from 1 species